GUUUGUUUUUGGGUUGAAUUAUUCCUAAAGAAUAGUUAUUUAUAUGUUAAUGUUUUGACUAUACUUCUAGUAGUGGCCGUGUUCUGCAUUUGUAAAUAAACAUAUGGUUUGUAAUUGACUAGUACAUGUGGUUUGUUUAGUAGACUUAUUGGGUCUCUGUGAUUUAAUUUACAUGUUAAUAACUUAAUAUAGCUUGUCAGCUGAACUUAGAUUUUCAUUGGAUUUAUAAGAACACUAUUCAAUUCCUCCUGUAUACUGCUUCAAUAUAAUCCCAAAAUACAUGGUAGGCGCUAGGCACUAGGCAUAGUAAGUGCCUAAGUGGGGUGGAAAAAAGGGCAUGGGGUUACCAACCCAUCUGUCAUUCCUAAUUCUUGGCCAGUUGGAGUGGAAAUGAAAUGGAAGUUAAUAAUCAAUAGAGAAUGUGCUAAAGUGAGUAGGGCUUGAAAAAGACUAAAUGCGACGUAAUGAUUUUCUAUUGAGGUUGAAAGAAAUCUGAAUGUCUUCUAUUGAUCAAGUCCCUGAAGUUCUGUGGUGUACAUAAGUUAAUGACCCUACAUGUAGUUCUGUGGUAUAUGACAAUUGUGGACCUUGGAAUCCAUCUGGUGCUGGAACUCUAGGAAUGUGGAGAGUAUAUCAUCAUUUGUAGUGUUAACAAGAACCAAAAGGAAAGUGAAUACUAAUAUAAGGCAAAUGGAUUUCAUGCAGUGUUUGAAAACCGUUCCUAAAGUGAAUGGUAAAUAGACUUGUUUCUCUCAGCUGGAAAACAUAUUAUGCAGCGUUCUUUGUCUGACAAUGCUCUUACCAGUUACUAAAGAAAGAGAUUUUUGCUCUCAAGAACUUGAAUUGGAACAGAAUCUGCUUUCAUUUUUGUGAAUCAGGUACGGCUUCAUGUUUGGAAGAGAAUCUGCUCGCAAAGAUCUCGGAAGCUUAAUCCAAGACCUUCACCGCCAGAAUCCCAAUUCCGAUCCUCAUUCCUGACUUCAUUCGGCUGAUGGCAUCAGGUGGGCAGUGUGGAAAUCCCUUCAUUUGUUAAAGCUUGAGAAAACAUUGUCUUUAAGGCCUUACUGGAAAACUCCUUCAGCCAUCUUUGGUUGUUUUCAGGUCAUCUUACCUAUCCUCAAGAGUGUGCGUUCCUGAGGAGUUUAGAUAUUAACUUUAAAACCUUUGUAUGCUGACUUGCAUUGAAGAUGCAGCUUUCUGCUGUGACAUAGUUGUUAUUCAAGAUGACUGAAUUAGAUAAUGUAGUUGGUGUUGAAUCAUACGCUUUGGUGUUUCAAAUUAAUGAAGAAGCAUUCUGUGAA